rnacentral:tRNA from 1 species
AAAAUUUUAGUUUAAAAAAAACAUUUUUUUUACAAAAAAAAAUUAAUUUAUAAUUAAAUUUUA